AGUGAACGCUGGCGGCGUGCCUAAUACAUGCAAGUCGCAGGAAGUGGCGCACGGGCGAGUAAUAUAUAGCUAAUUCGCCCCUCGCUGGAGGACAACAGUUAGAAAUGACUGCUAAUCCUCCAUAGGAAGGGAAGAGACUAUUUCGUGUCAGCUAGUCGGUGGGGUAACGGCCUACCGAGGCUAUGACGCGUAACUGGGCUGAGAGGAUGAUCAGUCACAUGGGGACUGAGACACGGUACAAAUUCCGACGGGAGGCGGCAGUAAGAAAUAUUGCGCAAUGGGGGAAGCCCGGAGGCAGCAACGCCGCGUGAAGGAGGACUCUGUGCGGAGCGUAAACUCCUUUUGUGAUGGAGGCGGUACCUGACGAAUAAGCACCGGCUAACUCCGUGCCAGCAGCCGCGGUAAUUC
rnacentral:rRNA from 1 species